rnacentral:misc_RNA from 1 species
GAUGAAGAACGUAGCGAAAUGCGAUAAGUAGUGUGAAUUGCAGAAUUCAGUGAAUCAUCGAAUCUUUGAACGCACAUUGCGCCCCUUGGUAUUCCAUGGGGCAUGCCUGCUCGAGCGUCAUUUGUACCUUCAAGCUUUGCUUGGUGUUGGGUGUUUGUCCCGAGGGACUCGCCUUAAAGUAAUUGGCAGCCAGUGUUUGGUUUUGAAGCGCAGCACAAGUCGCGAUUCAAGGCUACACGCCCGCUUCCACAAGCCUUUUUUCACUUUUGACCUCGGAUCAGGUAGGGAUACCCGCUGAACUUAAGCAUAUCAAUAAGCGGAGGA